rnacentral:rRNA from 1 species
UGGGGAAUCUUGGACAAUGGGCGCAAGCCUGAUCCAGCCAUGCCGCGUGAGGGAUGAAGUAUUUCGGUAUGUAAACUUCGUAAGAAUAGGAAGAAUAAAUGACGGUACUAUUUGUAAGGUCCGGCUAACUACGUGCCAGCAGCCGCGGUAAUACGUAGGGACCAAGCGUUGUUCGGAUUUACUGGGCGUAAAGGGCGCGUAGGCGGUUUGUCAAGUCAGUUGUGAAAUCUCCGAGCUUAACUCGGAACGGUCAACUGAUACUGUCAAACUAGAGUACAGAAGGGGCAAUCGGAAUUCUUGGUGUAGCGGUGAAAUGCGUAGAUAUCAAAAGGAACACCUGAGGCGAAGGCGGGUUGCUGGGCUGAUACUGACGCUGAAGCGCGAAAGCUAGGGUAGCAAACGGGAUUAGAUACCCAGGUAGUCCCUGAGCGGGCUGGCAAGGCGCAU